rnacentral:antisense_RNA from 1 species
UUUUUUUUUUUUUUUUUUUUUGAGGCAGGGUCUCUGUUGUCCAGGCUGGAGUGCAGUGGUGCAUUCUUGGCUCACUGCAACCUCUGCCUCCCAGGCUCAUCUUCCACCUCAGCCUCCUGGGUAGCUGGGACUACACGUGUGUGCCACCAUGCCCAGCUAAUUAAAAAGAUUUUUUUUUUUUUUUUUGUAGAGAUGAAGUUUUGCCAUGUUACCCAGGCUGGUCUUGAACUCCUGGACUCAAGCGAUCCACCUGCCUCGGCCUCCUAAAGUGCUGGAAUUUCAGGUGUGAGCCACUGUGCCCAGCCCCAAGAAGCUUUAUCUGAUCUGAACCUGAUUUAGAUAAGGAGGUCCUGUGCUUUGUUCCAAUGCUGCAGAGAGUAAGACUUCUGUGGGGAGAGGAGUGUCCUUUGCAUAUGGGAAAGAUGUGCACUACUGUGGCCAGAGCGAGAACUAUGGUAGAUUGCUUCUAAAGAUGGGAGCAGCAAUGUUUCUUCCCAAGCAACAUUCUCCUUUGAAAUGUGACUUUGCCACUCAUUGCAUCAAGAGGAUCUUAGAUACAUGAUGGCACUGUUGGCUUCCUGAAGACCUCUUCAUCCUGCAGAAGGUGCAACUCCACAGCGUCCUGAGAGGUUGGACAUAAGGCUUGGAAAGAAUGAAUGGUGCCUCACGGUGAAUUACUACAGCCUGAAUCCUGUGACCCCACCUGUAAUGGCCCAAUGUUGUUGAAAUUACUGACUCCAUCCACUUAGCAAGUGGUAAAUACUCUGCAGGCAUAGAUUUGACUAAUGUGUUCUGUUCAGCACCUAUUUCAACAGAUCUCAGCUGCAGGUUGCUUUCACUCCCGAAGGGACGCAAUAGACCGUUAUCUGGCUACCAUGGGGUACCUCGACAGUUCUGCCACCAUACACAAUCUUUGCAGGCAGGAUUUGAACUGCAUCUGAC